CAGGCCUGGACUGGUAAUAUGUAGCUGCUGUAAGAUGCCAUUUAUUGUGCCUUUGGGGGGGGGCUGUUUGAGCCCCUGUGUAAUUGAAAAAGCGUGAUAUCUUUUAAAUCUGCCCGGGGCUGUUGUUGUUACACCCGGUGAAGUUGAAAGCAGUAUUGGCUAUGUCAUUCAUCAAUAAUCCAUUGACUGCCUUUCAAUCCAUUGAAUUUUUUUUUCAGCUGCAGUAAAACAUCUCUUCAGCAAGAUCUUCAGCAAGAGACCAUAAAAUUCCUAUAUUAUUUGGAUACCAUUAAAAAAAGAAGCAUUUAAGAGAAAGCAUUUGAAGCUGAUGUCUACGCCCUGUGGAUAUCCUCUUUUUUUUUCCAGAAUUGUGAGAAUUCCUUUACAUUGUUGCUGGCUCUUUAUUCCAUUGAAUUCUUUUUUUGAUUGACCGUCGGAGGUCUAAAUCAAAAAAGCCAAGCUGGAUACAUAACAAGCCAUUCUGAGAUGCUGUAUGCUUUGGAAAUUCUGGGGAAUUCUGUUAUUAUGCGUCACUCUUCAACAGGCAAAAUGUUUUUUUCUAUUUUGUAAAGCUGCCGAGCCGAGCCUAGCCUACCAGGUAAAAGCGAAAUUUCAUGAUUCAACCUUAAUGUCUAUUCUACUUUAUAACUAGCCUUAAAAAAAAUUCUACCCCCCUUUUACAGUAUGUGAA